rnacentral:tRNA from 4 species
GGAAGGGUGGCAGAGCGGUUGAAUGCAGCAGUCUUGAAAACUGUCGAUGAGUGAUCCUCAUCCGUGGGUUCGAAUCCCACCUCUUCCGCCA